rnacentral:tRNA from 1 species
GCCUGGCUAGCUAAGUCGGUAGAGCAUGAGGCUCUUAAUCUCAGGAUCGGGGGUUUGAGCCCCCCAUUGGGCG